UUUCUUGAUAUUAAUUAAUUAAUUUUUUAAAUUAAUUUUCACAGAAAGACACUUGGUAGUCACGUGGCCUAUGGAAAAGAAGAGGCCCCCACCACCACCGAAAAAAACCUGCAUCUCACAAUUUUAAAGCAGUUAUUGUGAAACUAAUUCGUUUUGUGCAACACUUGAUAUGAGACCAUAUUGUCCCUGGAUGUGGACCUUGGACAACGUUCAGACAACCUUGGACAACUAGAUUAUGAUCCCAAGCAGAAAAAGUCUCCGCGUAGCUUUGCCUGAUGCCUGGGUUAACCGGAGGGUCGCUGGCUCAAGUACCCAUCCGGACCAAACAUGGAGCGUGGACUGGUGGCUGGAGAGGUGCCAGUUCACCUCCUGGGCACUGCCAAGGGGACCUUGAGCAAGUCACUGAACCCCAAACUGCUCGGGGCACCUGUCCAAUGCAUCUCUGACAUCUCUCCGUUUAAUGCAUGUAUAGGUCCUGUUAGUGCAUGUGUGUGUAUUUCAGGCCUGUGUGUGCAUGACAACAGAAUCACCCGGGGAUUAAUCAAAUACAUCUUCUUCCUCUUCUUCUAGAGUGAAAAGUGAUGAAAAAGAGAUUAAAUUUAGCAAACUGUUUCACAGCGAGCUGCAACAACAUCUGCAUUCUUGUGAAAGCGUCUUGUAAAAGAGCAAAGCUUAGAAUAAUCAAAGACUUUCUUUGGGACAGGAGGAGACCAAGGAUCCACAUAAGAUAAAUAUGGUCAGGGAUGUAGGAGUUUUAGGCCUCCCCAGUACAAGACUGAACAACCAUUUGAAAUGUCUAGACUGAAUAUGCACUUGGAGGGAUUCAGAACUGAGCUGGAUCAAAACUGAACAGGAGCCAGCCAGUCCCUUUGAACCUUUGGAUGUCCUUUCACCUGGUUUAAAGACUGUUUGACACGAUGACUCUUCAAACCCAGAAGGUAAAAAAUGUGUUUACUGGAAUCAGUGGCUUAUAAAAGAGAUUCACAAGAUCAGUGACCUGUAUUGACAUGGAGUGUUUCGGUCUUUUUCAGAACUCAUGCAAAAAUACGAUCUGGACUAUAAAGGCAAUUUUUGGAAGAACGUUCAAAUCUACAAUAUUCUGGCAUUUGUCCUGCCUCUAAGGCCGGGGCCACACUGCAUGAGUGAGCAGUGUAUGACAGUUACCUCAAGCAAUGCAAUGCCGUGCUGGGAGCUAUUUUUAUGUUCCAUUAAUUAUGUUCCAUUAAUAUCACACAAUAAUAAAAGUCUCUGAGGUUGUUGCACAUGAUGUACUAAAAGGGUUAUUUGGAUUUUUAUUUUUGCAGUAGCUCGGUCCAUAGGCACCUGGGUUGGAAACCGGGGACUAAUCAAUAUAUCUUCUUCCUCUUCUUCUAGAGUGAAAAGUGAUGAAGAGACUAAAUUUAGCAAACUGUUUCACAGUGAGCUGCAACAACAUCUGCAUUCUUGUAAAAGCAUCUUGUAGAAGAACAGAGCUCAUAAUAAAUGAGUAAAAAUGAAACUUUCUUCUUACUUUCGGUCUGAGAUUAGCUCCAUGCAGUAAAUAAUCUUUGGUCUCUCUUAUACCAGCCAAAGGUUACUUCCAUUCCUGCAAACUCGUCAUGAUAAUCUGCAUGUCAUGUGUGUUUUACUGCAGUUCUCUCUGGCCUUCCCAACAAACCCAUUAACAGGCUUUAAAUCAUUCAAAACUCUGCAGCCUGGAUCCUUAUCUGCACCAAACCAUCCGACCACAUCACCUCCAUUCUCACCCAGCUACACUGGCUCCCUGUUCAGUACCGGAUUGACUACAAAAACCUUCUGCUCACCUUCAAAGCCCUCCACAACCCAGCCCCCACUUACCUCUCUGACCUCCUCCAGGAGUCCCUUCACUCCCGCUCCCUGCGCUCCUCUCUGCUGGUCUGACCAUCUCCACCUCACGCCUCACCACCAUGGGUGCCAGGGCUGUGUGCGCCCCUUUUGCGUCUCUUGCUAUUGUUAUUUUAUACUCUGUUAGGUGAUCUUGAAAUGUGGUUUGAAAUGGGGGCCUAGAGGUACUUCAGAAACACCGUCAGAAGCUCAGGCUUACUUGAGACAUAACAGUAUCCAAGUACCAAAGUGAACGUGAGUCCCAUUUUCUGUUAUAUUGUACAAACAGUGAUGAAAUGGCUCGUCUAAACCCUGACACUUGCUGGUGCACAGAGGACCAAAAACUAGAAUGGCUUGUUAAUCUAAGUUUGCCGAUUUUGUUGCUAAAGCCAGGAAGAGAAGGCAGGAACGUUUGUUUAUUAAUACUCAUUUUGAUUUUAUUUUAUUUUUUUUUAGUUUAUAUGAUAAAUGCCUUUGUGAGUGAUCCACGAGCUUGGUCCUACACAAUGAUGAUAUGUAUGGUGCUUUUGCUGCUUGGUGUAAUUUUCUCUCUGCUCCUGGCCUGCUCUGAUCUUGUGAUGUCUUGUAAGACCAGGCGGGCUGGGCAUAACUGCUUGCAUGACUCAAGUGAAGUUGUUUCAUUCCCAUGCUUUUUUCUUCCUUGUGAAUCAGUUAAUGCAGCCUCACCUUGCCAUAGCGUCACUGAUGAACUCUACAACAAAGACAAUGUAUAA